AUGCAUGUCACGCUGAAGAUGACUUCUACAUCAGCCAACAGUUCUUUUCUGCUUACUGCUGUAUAUGCACCGUGUUUGGGCAGCGAAAGACCAAGUUUUUUUGAGGCAGUCAACAAUGCAGCAGGGUCACCUAAUCUCCCAUGGGUUGUUCUGGGAGAUUUCAACAUGUAUAGGUUUGUAGAUGAGAAAUCUUGUGGCCAGAUUAAUUGGAACAUGAUGGAAAGCUUCAACUCGUGGAUCAGGUGCCAUGGUUUGGAUGAUGUUCAGAUUGACAAUAGACCGUUUACCUGGUCCAACAAGAGAAGUCUUCCUACUCUAGUACGACUAGACCGUGUGCUUGUCAAUGCUGCCUGGAAUCUAAGUUUCUUGCAAACUUCUGCUACAUGUAUACCCACGACUACGUCUGACCAUGCGCCCGUUCUCGUGGACUUCUCGGCAGACGCAACGAGAAGCAAGUUGUUCCAUAUGGAGAACCAUUGGUUGGAGAUGGAGGAGGCUAGAAAUAUCAUCAUUGAUUGUUGGUCGAGAGGCACCCGGGAAAUCAGAUCCUCCGCGUCUCUAAUCAACUUCAAAAUGAGACGAGUUCGAGUUGAGCUAUGGAAAUGGUGCCGCAAGAAUUCUAGCAUCAAGGUUCUUUUGGAAAUAACAAACACGUUGUUUGUUUUCUGA
rnacentral:rRNA from 1 species